rnacentral:rRNA from 1 species
AUUGAACGCUGGCGGCAUGCUUUACACAUGCAAGUCGAGCGGCAGCGCGGCCUUCGGGCUGGCUGCGAGCGGCGAACGGGUGAGUAAUGCAUCGGAACAUGCCCAGCUGUGGGGGAGAACACCUCGAAAGAAGUGCGAAUACCGCAUACGUCCUGAGGGGGAAAGCGGGGGAUCGCAAGACCUUGCGCGAUUGGGGUGGCCGAUGUCAGAUUAGCUAGUUGGUGGGGUAAAGGCCUACCAAGGCGACGAUCUGUAGCUGGUCUGAGAGGAUGAUCAGCCACACUGGGACUGAGACACGGCCCAGACUCCUACGGGAGGCAGCAGUGGGGAAUUUUGGACAAUGGGGGCAACCCUGAUCCAGCCAUUCCGCGUGAGUGAAGAAGGCCUUCGGGUUGUAAAGCUCUUUCGGCGGGAACGAAACGGUGGGCUCUAACAUAGUCCGCUAAUGACGGUACCUGAAGAAGAAGCACCGGCUAACUACGUG